AACGAACGCUGGCGGCAUGCCUAACACAUGCAAGUCGAACGAGACCUUCGGGUCCAGUGGCGCACGGGUGCGUAACGCGUGGGAACCUGCCCUUAGGUUCGGAAUAACUCCCCGACAGGGGUGCUAAUACCGGAUAAUGUCUUCGGACCAAAGAUUUAUCGCCUUUGGAUGGGCCGGCGUUGGAUUAGCUAGUUGGUAGGGUAAAAGCCUACCAAGGCGACGAUCCAUAGCUGGUCUGAGAGGAUGAUCAGCCACACUGGGACUGAGACACGGCCCAGACUCCUACGGGAGGCAGCAGUGGGGAAUAUUGGACAAUGGGCGAAAGCCUGAUCCAGCAAUGCCGCGUGAGUGAUGAAGGCCUUAGGGUUGUAAAGCUCUUUUACCCGGGAUGAUAAUGACAGUACCGGGAGAAUAAGCUCCGGCUAACUCCGUG
rnacentral:rRNA from 1 species